GGGGCCAUAGCUCAGUUGGUAGAGCGCUUGAGUGGCACUCAAGAGGUCGUCGGUUCGAUCCCGAUUGGCUCCACCA
rnacentral:tRNA from 1 species